GCCCAGGUGGCGGAACUGGUAGACGCGCUAGACUCAAACUCUAGUGACUUCGGUCGUACCGGUUCGAUUCCGGUCUUGGGUA
rnacentral:tRNA from 1 species